UAAUAGCUCAGUUGGUUAGAGCGUGGGUCUAAUAAGCCCAAGGUCAGGGGUUCGAGCCCCCUUUGG
rnacentral:tRNA from 1 species